rnacentral:rRNA from 1 species
GUCAAGCAGAGGGUCAGGAAGCAGGCAGUGGAGCGCCAAGAGUUCAUUGCAGAAGAGAUCAGGAAAUUGGAAGCAGCAGGCCUUGUCAGAGGAGUGCUCCAUCCCACGUGGUUGGCCAAUCCUGUAGUCGUGCGCAAGGCGAGCGGGAAGUGGAGGCUUUGUAUAGACUUCACUGAUGUCAAUAAAGCUUGUCCCAAAGAUCCAUUUCCCUUGCCGCGCAUUGACCAGAUUGUUGACUCCACAGCUGGAUGUGAUUUGCUUUCAUUUCUUGAUGCGUAUUCUGGAUACCAUCAAAUCUUCAUGGCAGAAGAGGAUGAGGAGAAAACCGCAUUUAUCACCCCUUGUGGCACAUACUGUUUUGUACGGAUGCCCUUUGGGUUGAAGAAUGCUGGUUCAACAUUUGCAAGAGUAGUCCAUGUCGCUUUUGAGCCACAGAUACACAGAAAUGUG